GUCAUCAUCUAUCGGUUAGAAGCAAGUCACAGGUCUUGCCCACACUCAGUGAGAGGGAUUACAUGAAUGUGUGACCACCAGGAGAUGGUAACAAUUGGGGUCAUGAGGGGAUAUGACUGCUACAAUCUCCCAUCAUCAAAAACAAAAACAGGAAUCUGGCUGCUCCUCCUUGCUGUCUUUUGCUCAUGAAGCUGCCUAAAGGGUGACUCAGCACUAUGCAACUUCCAGGUACCAACUAUGAGAUGCCAAAGUCCAUCCAAAGGAUGGACCCAAGGCUACUGGAUCUUAAGGUUUCAGACAAGUGUGUGAGACUUUGUACAUGAAGUUGGAGAAUGCCUCACUCUCUACCCUGUACAGGGUUGUGAUCCAGAGCUGGAUUUCAGACCCCUGUUUCUACAGGAACUCUAAACAAGCCCAGAAAGGGUCUCACUCUGUCACCGAGGCUAGAGUGCAGUGGCGCAAUCUCAGCUAACUGCAACCUCCACCUCCUGGGUUCAAGCAAUUCUCCUGCCUCAGCCUCCCGAGUAGCUGAAAUUACAGGCGCCCAUCACCAUGCCCAGCUAAUUUUUUGUAUUUUU
ensembl:lncRNA LINC02374 long intergenic non-protein coding RNA 2374